UGUGUCGAGUUGACAGAAAACUAAAGAGCACAUCCAUCAUAGGGAUGCUGGGGACCACACUCAGGUCCUCUGCGAUAACCAUAUCUCCAGCCCCAGAACAGAAGCUUUUAAUGUUAACAAGACCUGGCCAACCAUCUCCCUGGUGGAAGCAAUGCCUUCUGGGCUGUGUCUAAAAAGCCAUCACCGCUCCAAAGCCACUUGAGACUUCUACUGUGUGACAGUCUAGGCAGAGAGUUCCUGACAGUGGGCACACAGGAGAAGGAUUGCGUGAGUGUGCACAGGAACACAGUGGUGUCAUGUAGGUCCUGCCUGGACAGUACCAUCAGCACAGAGCCUCACUGACCACAUCUACAAAGACCCCUCUCUAAGAGGGAGCCCAUAGUGGAUCUUUGCGAAUGUCCAUAGGUAUGAAGAGUCCGUGCCUUUCAGGCCACAUGGCUGAGCAGAGAGGCACUCUCCUCUCCUCACCGGCAUGCGCAGAGAGAGCUGGAGAGGGCUGCUGAGGUCCGAGUGGCUAGUACCCACAGACAUCAGAGAUAGGGGAAUAGAGACCAGCCACCCAUUGCUCACUGUGAACCUAAGAUCCCUUUGAGCCUC